GUGCUUAUAUAAAAAAAUAGUCUUUUAUCCUGGGCCGGGUCGAGAAACAUCUUUUGCAGACCGGCCCGGUCAAGGUCGGUGCCGUCGCAUGGAAACACCUUGGGCCGAGGCGUGGCGCAUUCAAAUUCUGUAGGUCUUCCAGGUAGUUCAUGAGGCCAUGCUUCGUCUUGGGGACAGAGCGGGAAAUGGCGCUACGGAAAGGUUUCCCUCUUCCCUUCCUCUAUUUCUUUUCUCUCCGACGCCGAAGCCGAUGAUGACGAACACUGUUGGCGCGCGCGAUCUUGGAUCAGUCGCCUUUGGUGAUGGCGAUGGUGGGGCAGCUUGGAUGGUCGGCAUGGGAACCGCAGCAGCCAUGUUUAACUCUUUGGAUGGGAUUCGGUGGAAGAGAGAAGAAAAAACCAGAUCGCUUCUCCUCCGCUGAUAAGAGAGGAGAAGAUGCAACAUCACUUCUCCUCCGCUGAGAAAACGGAGAAAUGCAAGAUCGUUUGUCCCCGUGAUGAACAAGUAGCGAAUCUGAACCUUCCCUAUUUAUUAUUAUUGUUAUUAGAUCUAGAGUUAUGGCACUUAUGUUGGAGUUCAGUCUGCGUCCACUUCCAGCAGCUGCCUUUCUCCAAGCCUAAUUUUGGCACCCAUGUUGGAGUUUAGUCUAUUUGCUCAAGUGAUUGUUUAAGGUAGCAUUUUGCCCGGGAGCAUCAAAAACCCUUCUGUUUUUGCAUUUUGUUGAAAUAAAGCUUGGGCAUGAACCUGGGAGUAUCAAUUAAUGUUGUAGAAUUGUUUUUAUUUUUCCAAGCUUAUUAAGGAUUUAAUAGGUUUAGACCAGGAUUAUCCUAUCUAAAGUAUCCAUUUGCUCCAAAGGUUGUUCUAUUCAUUAGGAGCUGAAUCAGAUUUAUAGGAAUCCCUUUUGUUACUCCACUCAAUAGUUUAAGUGUAAUACUCUGUUAGCAAUGGUCGAC